rnacentral:rRNA from 1 species
AUUGAACGCUGGCGGCAUGCUUUACACAUGCAAGUCGAACGGUAACAGGCCUUCGGGUGCUGACGAGUGGCGAACGGGUGAGUAAUGCAUCGGAACGUGCCCAGAGGUGGGGGAUAACGCAGCGAAAGCUGUGCUAAUACCGCAUGUGAUCUGAGGAUGAAAGCGGGGGACCAGGCAGCAAUGUUUGGCCUCGCGCCUUUGGAGCGGCCGAUGUCAGAUUAGGUAGUUGGUGGGGUAAAGGCCUACCAAGCCGACGAUCUGUAGCUGGUCUGAGAGGACGACCAGCCACACUGGGACUGAGACACGGCCCAGGCUCCUACGGGAGGCAGCAGUGGGGAAUUUUGGACAGUGGGCGCAAGCCUGAUCCAGCAAUGCCGCGUGCGGGAAGAAGGCCUUCGGGUUGUAAACCGCUUUUGUACGGAACGAAAAGGCUCUGGCUAAUACCUGGGGCUGAUGACGGUACCGUAAGAAUAAGCACCGGCUAACUACGUG